GGAAGUACGUUCGCAAGAAUGAAACUCAAAGGAAUUGGCGGGGGUCCGCACAAGCGGUGGAGUAUGUGGUUUAAUUCGAUGAUACGCGAGGAACCUUACCUGGGCUAGAAUGCUGGGAGACCGCUAGUGAAAGCUAGUUUUGUAGCAAUACACUGCCAGUAAGGUGCUGCAUGGCCGUCGUCAGCUCGUGCCGUGAGGUGUUGGGUUAAGUCCCGCAACGAGCGCAACCCCUAUCUUUAGUUGCCAACAGGUAAUGCUGGGAACUCUAAAGAAACUGCCGCCGUAAGGUGUGAGGAAGGAGGGGAUGAUGUCAGGUCAUCAUGGCCUUUAUGCCCAGGGCUACACACGUACUACAAUGGGGGAGACAAAGGGCUGCAACAUAGCGAUAUGAAGCCAAUCCCAAAAACUCCCUCUCAGUUCAGAUUGCAGGUUGCAACUCGCCUGCAUGAAGCUGGAAUCGCUAGUAAUCGCAUAUCAGCAAUGAUACGGUGAAUACGUUCCCGGACCUUGCACACACCGCCCGUCAAGCCAUGGGAGUCGGGUGUACCUAAAGUCGGUAACCGAAAGGAGCUGCCUAGGGUAAAAUCGAUGACUGGGGCU
rnacentral:rRNA from 1 species